rnacentral:misc_RNA from 1 species
AAUCAUCAACUUCAAUAGCUUUUGUUAUUGAAGCUUGGACUUGGAGGUCUGUGUCGGCUCGCAAGAGUGGACUCCUCUCAAAUGCAUUAGCGUGAACCUGACGGAUCGCCUUCAGUGUGAUAAUUAUCUGCGCUGUGGUGUGAAGUCAAUUAGUGUUCGAGCUUACAACCGUCCGCAAGGACAAUUACUUGACA